UUGCAAGUCAUGCGUCUAAUAAGGGGUUAAUAUCCAAAUUAUAUAAACAACUUGUACAUCUUAAAAACAAAAUAACCCAAUUAAAAAAUAUGCAAAGGACUUGAAUAGUCAUUUCUCUAAAGAUUGUAUGCAAACAGCCAACAGACAUAUGCAAAUAUGCUCAGUACCACAAAUCAUCAGGAAGAUGCAAAUUAAACCACAAUGAAACCUCACAUCACACCAAUUAGGAUGGCCACUAUUUAAAAAAUUAAAUUAACAAGCAUUGGCAAGGAUGUAGAAAUUGAAACGCCUAUGCACUGUUGGUGGGAAUAUAAAAUGAUACAGCUGGCUUUGCAGACACUGCUGCCCCCAAGAUCCCCUGCCACUAGCCAUGGUCAUCCCCAGUGUGUCCUUCAAUAUCACCAUCAACAGCAAGCCCUUGGGACACAUCUCCUUUCAGCUAUUUGCAGAUAAAGUUCCAAAGACAGAAGAAAACUUUCACUCUGAAUAAUAAAGACAAAGGAUUUGGUUAUAAAAGUUCCUGCUUUCACAGAAUUAUUCCAGGGUUUAUAUGCCAGGGUGAUGACUUCACACACCAUAAUAGCAUUGGUGGCAAGUCCAUCUACGGGGAUAAAUUUGAUGAUAUGAACUUUAUCAUGAAGCACACAGGUCUUGGCAUCUUGUCCAUGGCAAAUGCUGGACCCAAAACAAAUGAUUCCCAGUUUUUCAUCUGUGCUGCUGUGGCCGUGUGGUUGGAUGGCAAGCAUGUGAUCUUUGGCAGGGUGAAAGAAGGCGUGAAUAUUGUGGAAGCCAUGGAAUGCUUUGGGUCCAGGAAUGGUGAGACAAGCAAGAUCGUCAUUGCCAACUGCAGACAACUGUAAUAAAUUUGACUUGUGUUUUGUCUUAACCACCAGACCUUUCCUUUUGUAGCUCACACCAUUCCACCCCAUUUGCUCACAGUCUCAUAUAAUCUUCAUGGUCUCACUACAGUUCUUUGAGUUCUAUAUUUUCAUUAUCUCCCUCGACAUACAGCUGGAUUGCAGAGUUAAGUUUAUGAUGGUGCAGUAAAAACUAAAUAACAAAAAAAAAAAAAAAAAAUCAGAUGCUGCGACCAUGGAAAACAGUAUCACAGUUUCUCAAAUAAUUAAACAUUGAAUUACCAUAUAAUUCAGCAAUUCCACUACUGGAUAGAUAUCCAAAAGAAUUGAAGGUAGGGUUCCAAAGAAAUAUUUGCACAUCCAUGUUCAUAGCCCUGCUAUUUACAGUAGCCAAGAGGUGGAAGCCAUCUGAGUGCCCAUCCAAAAAUGAGUGGAUAAACAAAAUAUGGGAUAUACAUACUCUGAAUACAGGCUUAAAAAGGAAGGAAAUUCCAACACAUGCUACAAUAUCGAUGAAUCUUAAGGAAUUAUAGUAAGUGAAAUAAGCCAUUCACAAAAAGGCAAAUACUGAAUGAUUCCACUUAUAUGAGGUGUCUAGAGUAGUCAUAUUCAUAGAGACAGAAAUUAGAAUGAUUGUUGCCACCAACUGGGAGGACGGGGGUGUGAAAAGUUGUUUAAUGGGUAUUGAGUUCCAGUUUUGCCAGAUAAAAAAGUUCUGAAGGUUGGUUGCAUGACGUGAAUAUAGUAAACAGUACUGAACUAUUACUUAGAAUGGUUAAGAUGAUAAAUUUUAUGAGUUUUCACUACAAUAAAAAGUAGAGCAGUAGAACAGAUGAUUAGUCAUAGCAGAAAAGAAGAAAAAUAGGUCAAAACAGGUUAUUAGAAAAUAUCCAAACUGAAGCAUGAAGAAGAAGAAUAUUUUUAGUAGAAAAUAUCCAAACUGAUAUAUAAAGACAUAAAGGAAUUUGUGGAGACAAAGAGGAGAUAAGAGAAUAAAAGACAUGUGGGACACAUUAA